rnacentral:rRNA from 1 species
AUUGAACGCUGGCGGCAGGCUUAACACAUGCAAGUCGAACGGGCACUUCGGUGUCAGUGGCAGACGGGUGAGUAACACGUGGGAACGUACCUUUUGGUUCGGAACAACACAGGGAAACUUGUGCUAAUACCGGAUAAGCCCUUACGGGGAAAGAUUUAUCGCCGAAAGAUCGGCCCGCGUCUGAUUAGCUAGUUGGUGGGGUAAUGGCUCACCAAGGCGACGAUCAGUAGCUGGUCUGAGAGGAUGAUCAGCCACAUUGGGACUGAGACACGGCCCAAACUCCUACGGGAGGCAGCAGUGGGGAAUAUUGGACAAUGGGCGCAAGCCUGAUCCAGACAUGCCGCGUGAGUGAUGAAGGCCCUAGGGUUGUAAAGCUCUUUUGUGCGGGAAGAUAAUGACGGUACCGCAAGAAUAAGCCCCGGCUAACUUCGUGCCAGCCGCCGCCGUAA